rnacentral:ncRNA from 1 species
UUUCCAUUUUCCGGAGAAUAGGGAAGUAUCGGGUGAAAAUCCCGCGCGGUCCCCGCCGCUGUGAACGGAUGAAACACCGGCAAGUAUGCCACUGUCCCCUUAUCCUGUGGGGCCGGGAAGGCGCCGGAAGAAAAUCCGCAAGCCAGAAGACCUGCCUUUGGA